AGUUCUCAACCAUACCUCGGUGUGGCUUGGAUCUGGGGGUUCUGCAGGCUUCAAAGAAGGUCGGCUCCCCUGAAAAGCAUUAGCGGUGUCCGAGUACCUUUGGUGUGAUAACUAUCUAUGCCUUGGUGUAUGCGAUGCAUGCUGCUUCUGAACUUGCGUCUUGCGCAUUUUAUUGACAA
rnacentral:misc_RNA from 1 species